CCUACGGGAGGCAGCAGUGAGGAAUAUUGGUCAAUGGACGAGAGUCUGAACCAGCCAAGUAGCGUGAAGGAUGACUGCCCUCUGGGUUGUAAACUUCUUUUAUAUGGUAAUAAAAUGUUCCACGUGUGGGAUUUUGUAUGUACCAUAUGAAUAAGGAUCGGCUAACUCCGUGCCAGCAGCCGCGGUAAUACGGAGGAUCCGAGCGUUAUCCGGAUUUAUUGGGUUUAAAGGGAGCGUAGGUGGAUUGUUAAGUCAGUUGUGAAAGUUUGCGGCUCAACCGUAAAAUUGCAGUUGAAACUGGCAGUCUUGAGUACAGUAGAGGUGGGCGGAAUUCGUGGUGUAGCGGUGAAAUGCUUAGAUAUCACGAAGAACUCCGAUUGCGAAGGCAGUUCACUGGACUGCAACUGACACUGAGGCUCGAAAGUGUGGGUAUCAAACAGGAUUAGAUACCCCUGUAGUC
rnacentral:rRNA from 1 species